UACGGGGGGAGCAAGCGUUGUUCGGAUUUACUGGGCGUAAAGGGCGCGUAGGCGGUCAGCACAAGUCAGUUGUGAAAUCUCCGAGCUUAACUCGGAAAGGUCAACUGAUACUGUGUGACUAGAGUGCGGAAGGGGCAACUGGAAUUCUUGGUGUAGCGGUGAAAUGCGUAGAUAUCAAGAGGAACACCUGCGGCGAAGGCGGGUUGCUGGGCCGACACUGACGCUGAGGCGCGAAAGCUAGGGGAGCGAACGGG
rnacentral:rRNA from 1 species